AGAGUUUGAUCCUGGCUCAGGAUGAACGCUAGCGGGAGGCUUAACACAUGCAAGUCGAACGGUAACAGGUCCUUCGGGACGCUGACGAGUGGCGCACGGGUGAGUAACGCGUAUGCAACCUGCCCUGUACAGGGGGAUAGCCCGGAGAAAUCCGGAUUAAUACCCCAUAGUUUUUAUGAGUCGCAUGGCUUAUAAAAUAAAGCUUCGGCGGUACAGGAUGGACAUGCGUGGCAUUAGCUUGUUGGUAGGGUAACGGCUUACCAAGCGACGAUGCCUAGGGGUUCUGAGAGGAUGAUCCCCCACACUGGGACUGAGACACGGCCCAGACUCCUACGGGAGGCAGCAGUGAGGAAUAUUGGUCAAUGGGCGAGAGCCUGAACCAGCCAUCCCGCGUGCAGGAUGACGGCCCUACGGGUUGUAAACUGCUUUUAUGUACCAAGAAUAGGCGCUACGUGUAGCGUUAUGACGGUAGUACAUGAAUAAGCAUCGGCUAACUCCGUGCCAGCAGCCGCGGUAAUACGGAGGAUGCAAGCGUUAUCCGGAUUCAUUGGGUUUAAAGGGUGCGUAGGCGGCUAUAUAAGUCAGUGGUGAAAUGCUGCAGCUCAACUGUAGAACUGCCAUUGAAACUGUAUAGCUUGAGUGCGCCUGAGGUAGGCGGAAUGAGUAGUGUAGCGGUGAAAUGCUUAGAUAUUACUCAGAACACCGAUUGCGAAGGCAGCUUACUAAAGCGUAACUGACGCUGAUGCACGAAAGCGUGGGGAGCGAACAGGAUUAGAUACCCUGGUAGUCCACGCCGUAAACGAUGAUAACUCGCUGUUGGCGAUACACAGUCAGCGGCUAAGCGAAAGCAUUAAGUUAUCCACCUGGGGAGUACGAUCGCAAGGUUGAAACUCAAAGGAAUUGACGGGGGCCCGCACAAGCGGAGGAACAUGUGGUUUAAUUCGAUGAUACGCGAGGAACCUUACCUGGGCUUAAAUGUGGAUUGACCGUUGCCGAAAGGUGACUUCCCUUCGGGGCAAUUUACAAGGUGCUGCAUGGUUGUCGUCAGCUCGUGCCGUGAGGUGUCGGGUUAAGUCCCAUAACGAGCGCAACCCUUAUCGUCAGUUGCUAACAGGUUAAGCUGAGGACUCUGGCGAGACUGCCACCGUAAGGUGAGAGGAAGGUGGGGAUGACGUCAAAUCAGCACGGCCCUUAUGUCCAGGGCUACACACGUGUUACAAUGGUCGGUACAAAGGGCAGCUACUUGGCAACAAGAUGCUAAUCCCAAAAGCCGGUCUCAGUUCGGAUUGGAGUCUGCAACCCGACUCCAUGAAGCUGGAUUCGCUAGUAAUCGCGCAUCAGCCAUGGCGCGGUGAAUACGUUCCCGGGCCUUGUACACACCGCCCGUCAAACCAUGGAAGCUUGGGGGACCUGAAGUCUGCAACCGCAAGGAGCGGCCUAGGGUAAAACAAGUGACUGGGGUUAAGUCGUAACAAGGUAGCCGUACCGGAAGGUGUGGCUG
rnacentral:rRNA from 1 species